GGAAAAGGCGCAGUCUCGGUGGGAUUGCGUGCAGGAGGGUCGCGGUCUGGCUGUGGCGGAGGAGCAUAAGAAGGGCUGCAAGUGGAAUUCAUCAACCCCAUCUUCGAGUUCUCCAGGGCCAUGAAUGAGCUGCAACUCAAUGAUGCCGAGUUUGCCUUGCUCAUUGCUAUCAGCAUCUUCUCUGCAGACCGGCCCAACGUGCAGGACCAGCUCCAGGUAGAGAGGCUGCAGCACACAUAUGUGGAAGCCCUGCAUGCCUACGUCUCCAUCCACCAUCCCCAUGACCGACUGAUGUUCCCACGGAUGCUAAUGAAACUGGUGAGCCUCCGGACCCUGAGCAGCGUCCACUCAGAGCAAGUGUUUGCACUGCGUCUGCAGGACAAAAAGCUCCCACCGCUGCUCUCUGAGAUCUGGGAUGUGCACGAAUGACUGUUCUGUCCCCAUAUUUUCUGUUUUCUUGGCCGGAUGGCUGAGGCCUGGUGGCUGCCUCCUAGAAGUGGAACAGACUGAGAAGGGCAAACAUUCCUGGGAGCUGGGCAAGGAGAUCCU
rnacentral:sRNA from 1 species